GAUGAACGCUGGCGGCGUGCCUAAUACAUGCAAGUCGAGCGAAUGGACGAGAAGCUUGCUUCUCUGAUGUUAGCGGCGGACGGGUGAGUAACACGUGGAUAACCUACCUAUAAGACUGGGAUAACUUCGGGAAACCGGAGCUAAUACCGGAUAAUAUUUUGAACCGCAUGGUUCAAAAGUGAAAGACGGUCUUGCUGUCACUUAUAGAUGGAUCCGCGCUGCAUUAGCUAGUUGGUAAGGUAACGGCUUACCAAGGCAACGAUGCAUAGCCGACCUGAGAGGGUGAUCGGCCACACUGGAACUGAGACACGGUCCAGACUCCUACGGGAGGCAGCAGUAGGGAAUCUUCCGCAAUGGGCGAAAGCCUGACGGAGCAACGCCGCGUGAGUGAUGAAGGUCUUCGGAUCGUAAAACUCUGUUAUUAGGGAAGAACAUAUGUGUAAGUAACUGUGCACAUCUUGACGGUGCCUAAUCAGAAAGCCACGGCUAACUACGUG
rnacentral:rRNA from 1 species